rnacentral:rRNA from 1 species
AUUGAACGCUGGCGGCAGGCUUAACACAUGCAAGUCGAGCGGUAACAGAGAGAAGCUUGCUUCUCUGCUGACGAGCGGCGGACGGGUGAGUAAUGCCUAGGAGUCUGCCUAGUAGUGGGGGAUAACUUGCCGAAAGGUAAGCUAAUACCGCAUACGUCCUACGGGAGAAAGGAGGGGACCUUCGGGCCUUACGCUAUUAGAUGAGCCUAGGUCGGAUUAGUUAGUUGGUGAGGUAAUGGCUCACCAAGACCGCGAUCCGUAACUGGUCUGAGAGGAUGAUCAGUCACACUGGAACUGAGACACGGUCCAGACUCCUACGGGAGGCAGCAGUGGGGAAUAUUGGACAAUGGGGGGAACCCUGAUCCAGCCAUGCCGCGUGUGUGAAGAAGGUCUUAGGAUUGUAAAGCACUUUAAGUUGGGAGGAGGAGCAGUUAACUAAUAUUUGACUGUUUUGACGUUACCGACAGAAUAAGCACCGGCUAACUUCGUGCCAGCCGCCGCCGUAA